rnacentral:tRNA from 1 species
AAAACAGAUAAAUUUCGUUGACGAGGCGCGGCGAUUACGGUUUAAUGCGCCCCGUU